rnacentral:rRNA from 1 species
UACGAAGGGGGCUAGCGUUGUUCGGAAUUACUGGGCGCAAAGCGUGCGCAGGCGGCUUCUCAAGUCAGGGGUGAAAGCCCAGAGCUCAACUCUGGAAUUGCCUUUGAGACUGAGUGGCUUGAGUACGAGAGAGGUGAGUGGAAUUCCCAGUGUAGAGGUGAAAUUCGUAGAUAUUGGGAAGAACACCGGUGGCGAAGGCGGCUCACUGGCUCGUAACUGACGCUCAUGCACGACAGCGUGGGGAUCAAACAGG